UCUCAUGGAUGAGUGAAGAGAGCAGUUCUUGAGAUGGAAUCUACUCCUGGUGAAGAUGCUGUGAA
rnacentral:pre_miRNA from 1 species